CUGGAUUUGAAACUUCAAGAUCUCUUCACGUCACAUCUACAGGGUCAGACACGGAGCGCAUGGCCGUGCACUCCAUUUCGGGUAAACGGGGGGAAAGACGUCGUCAGGUCCUUUUUACAGGAGAGCGACUGAAAGACAGACGGAGAGGAA